rnacentral:rRNA from 1 species
AAUCCAGACUCCUACGGGAGGCAGCAGUAGGGAAUUUUGCGCAAUGGGCGAAAGCCUGACGCAGCAACGCCGCGUGAUCGAGACGCCCUUCGGGGUGUAAAGAUCUGUCAGUGGGGACGAAACUUGACGGUACCCACAGAGGAAGCACCGGCUAACUCCGUGCCAGCAGCCGCGGUAAUACGGGGGGUGCAAGCGUUGUCCGGAAUUAUUGGGCGUAAAGGGUGCGCAGGCGGCAAGAAAAGCUUAAGGUGAAAGCGUGGGGCUCAACCCCAUAAAGCCUUAGGAACUAGCUUGCUAGAGUGCAGGAGAGGGCGAUGGAAUUCCAUGUGUAGCGGUAAAAUGCGUAGAUAUAUGGAGGAACACCAGUGGCGAAGGCGGUCGCCUGGCCUGUAACUGACGCUGAGGCACGAAAGCGUGGGGAGCAAAUAGGAUUAGAUACCCGAGUA